rnacentral:rRNA from 1 species
AUUGAACGCUGGCGGCAGGCCUAACACAUGCAAGUCGAGCGGAUGAAGGGAGCCUGCUCCUGGAUUCAGCGGCGGACGGGUGAGUAAUGCCUAGGAAUCUGCCUGGUAGUGGGGGAUAACGUCCGGAAACGGGCGCUAAUACCGCAUACGUCCUGAGGGAGAAAGUGGGGGAUCUUCGGACCUCACGCUAUCAGAUGAGCCUAGGUCGGAUUAGCUAGUUGGUGGGGUAAAGGCCUACCAAGGCGACGAUCCGUAACUGGUCUGAGAGGAUGAUCAGUCACACUGGAACUGAGACACGGUCCAGACUCCUACGGGAGGAAGCAGUGGGGAAUAUUGGACAAUGGGCGAAAGCCUGAUCCAGCCAUGCCGCGUGUGUGAAGAAGGUCUUCGGAUUGUAAAGCACUUUAAGUUGGGAGGAAGGGCAGUAAGUUAAUACCUUGCUGUUUUGACGUUACCAACAGAAUAAGCACCGGCUAACUUCGUG